UGGCGCUUAGCUCAACUGGAAGAGCAGCGGUCUCCAAAACCGCCGGUUGCAGGUUCGAGUCCUGCAGCGUCAGC
rnacentral:tRNA from 3 species